rnacentral:tRNA from 1 species
GCGCGAUUGGUGAAAAUGGCAGCCACACCGUCCUCAGAAGGCGGCGCUUCGGCAUGAAGGUUCAAGUCCUUCAUCGCGCACCA